GGUGAACGCUAGCGGCGGGCCUAACACAUGCAAGUCGUGCGGAGGGGGCAACCCCUCAGCGGCGGACGGGUGCGUAACACGUAGGUAACCUGCCCCCAGGAGGGGGAUAACCCUGGGAAACCGGGGCUAAUACCGGAUAGUUCCUUGAACCGCAUGGUUCAAGGAUGAAAGACGGUUUCGGCUGUCACUUACAGAUGGACCCGCGGCGCAUUAGCUAGUUGGUGGGUAAUGGCUCACCAAGGCGACGAUGCGUAGCCGACCUGAGAGGGUGAUCGGCCACACUGGGACUGAGACACGGCCAGACUCCUACGGGAGCAGCAUG
rnacentral:rRNA from 1 species